UUCCGACCCCGCCCCCCGCGGAAGCUGGCUGAGUGCGGCCAUGCUGGGACGUGCUAAGGUCUCCCUGCAGCACCUGUUGAGAACCGACGAGAGAAAGGAGACUAAAUUCCCGGACAUGUACAGUUGGUUUGCCCCAAGCUAAGAUGGCGGUCCCUAUGUUUCCCGCACUUCACCCAGAUGACGAGUCGCACCAGUGGACCAGCCAGCCGGCCUUUCUUGAAGCAUGCGCGACCUGCGGAGCUGUAGAGCAAAGCAUUGUGGGAGUUGAAGUCGGCUACUCCGACCCCUCGUCUAGGGUUAGGGUUCCAGCAGCACGUUUUCUCUGCUCAAACUUUUGAGUUCGCGACAAACGAACGAAAGUUGCACCCUCGGAGGGGUGUGACGCUGGAGUGGAAGGAGGGACGACCCCAGCCCUGUAGAGACUGAGACCCUAUUCCUGCUUCCUGCAGAAGACCUAUUUAGAACUACCCGUCUAGAAAAAAAGUAUUUUCUGCCUUAAGGCUGCCACCCCUCGUGCCCCCGCCCGCCUGGGCAACUUCCUCUAAAGCAGCGACAGAGCACUUUCUAUCUUGCAGGCCUGAUCACGGCGUCUUCUUGGAUUAAAAUCUUCCCGGGCUCCCCUUUGUGCACCGAAGAUAGCCCGAGUUCUCUUGACAUCCAGAUUCCUGCAUAAAUUUGACAGCCCCAACUCCCCCCUUUUUUGACACCGUUUCCCUUUCUAGCCUCCUUUUCUGCACCCAAAUUUCUGACGCGUCCACCCGGUAAAAGGGCAAACGAUUCC